rnacentral:rRNA from 1 species
UCUUGGUCAUUUAGAGGAAGUAAAAGUCGUAACAAGGUUUCCGUAGGUGAACCUGCGGAAGGAUCAUUAUCAUACCUCAGAGGCGUAACGGCUGUCGCUGACCACAUUCAAAGGUCGUGCACGCCGGGGCGCUCAUCCACUUCACCCUUGUGCAUCACCGCGUGGGGCACCCCCUUAGGGGUCCACGUCUUUUACACACACCCCUUUAACAAAGUUUAGAAUGUCUUUGCGGUCACACGCAAUCAAUACAACUUUCAACAAUGGAUCUCUUGGCUCUCGCAUCGAUGAAGAACGCAGCGAAAUGCGAUACGUAAUGUGAAUUGCAGAAUUCAGUGAAUCAUCGAAUCUUUGAACGCACCUUGCGCCCCUUGGCAUUCCGAGGGGCACACCCGUUUGAGUGUCGUGACAACCUCAAACCUUCUUGGUUUCUUGAUCAGGAAGGCUUUGGACUUUGGAGGCAUUUUGCUGGCUUCUUCUGAAGCCAGCUCCUCUUAAAUGGAUUAGUGGGGUCACCUUUGCCACUCCCCCGACGUGAUAAGAUGUUUCUGCGUCUUGGGAUCGGCUCUGUAACCCGCUUCUAACCGUCUCGUCAGAGACUAUGUUCGGGUUUGCCACCUUUCAUGGGUGGUAAGCUUUGACUCAGAAACCUUGACCUCAAAUCGGGUGAGACUACCCGCUGAACUUAAGCAUAUCA